UGGAUAUGCAUAUGAUACUCCGCAUGUGUCAAGAAUGAUUAUAUGAUAAAGGUCUGAAAGUAAUUAUUUUUAAAUAAAAAUGUGACUUGGAUAUAUGAAAUAAUUAGGUGAUAUUCAUGUAAUGUAAUAAUCUUUUGUUCUUUUAUUAAGUUAGUCUUUUACAUAUAGUGUUUGUCAUUUUUUAUAGUUAUACUGUAUAUUAGUUUUCCACUUGGAUGACUGCAUGUUAGACUGAUUAAAAAUAAAAACUAUGAUCAAACUUGAACUAGUCUAGCUUGUGGUCAUCCUGUCACGGACUUAGCUGGUUUUGCCUAAGUCGUGCGGCACCCUUGCGUGCCCGUCCGCAAAGGUCAGCCUCCCCGAAGCCUCUCAUUGUCCCUUAGGACCAACAAAAGUGAGAACGAGUUAGAGAGAACGCCUCAAUCGGGAUCCACAAGCAAACAUCUCCAAAAAACACUUCAUAGACAAUGUAAAUUACAAACAGACUUUACAAGCUCUGAACAGUUGCACAACAAAGGGUAAAAUGGUCCAUUACAGACCGAAAAUCUCUCGCACAUGUCCACAUGACACAACCUUUAUUUACAAGCCUAAAGAGGCCACUAACUCAAAUAAAAUGAGAAUAUUAUGCCUUCGGCCGCCCCUCUACAUGCUGUACAAGGCAUGAACAUGCCAAAAGACACGGACAUACAUAAACAUUACAUCAAACAUCCUGUUUCGAAGUUUGUCAGUGACAUUCUCCCCCACUUAUUCCUUCGACGUCCUCGUUGAAGCCUUUGUCGACACUAUAACUCCUCGCCUUUACUUAGUCUUCAAUCUUCUGCUCCAGCUACAAUACGCCUCUUGGCUCCUUGCUGCUCUCCGCUAUUGUUUUUGAGUAGUCGAACCUUUGAUUUGCUAUGCUGCUUCAACUCACCAAUGACUCUGACUCUGGUGUGGGGUUGGCUGAGUUGUGUUGAUCCUUGUUGAUUCCUGCGGAUCCCCCAGAUGAAGGAAAAGACCAUCCUUACUGCGCCAGUAUCUCAAAUUCCUUAUGCUGCUUGAACUGGGUGGAUGCUUGUUAGAGCUUUUAACGAGCAUCGUCUCGCAAACUGCUGAAGUUUUGGGUCCUUCCUCCACAAAAUUUACUCAUUAACUCUUCUUUCACUUAAUUGUCAUAUCCAAGUAGGUUCGCAUCACUUUCGAUUUCGAUUGGCAUUUCGUUGGGAAAUGAAGCGGACAAUCUACUCUCAGUAGCACUGAUCACCAUUGGUGAGGAUUUGACAACUAUUGUCUUCCAUUGUCUUCGAAAGGUCUUUGAACUUGUGCAGAGCUCCUCUUCUGGAUAGAUAAGAGAAUUGGGGUACUCGGUUUCGCCCAUUCUCUUAAGGGUUGAGAAGGCAAAGGUUACUUGACUUCGCCCGCCUCCUCGAGGUUGUACUCCAUACAUCGAGCUGGUUACUAGCCUUCGCCUGCUCUUUGCUCACACUUCUGAAGCACUUGAAGUGUUUGCACUCCUUGCAUUGAGUUAGUUACUGUGAUUCACCUUCUCAAUGCCAUCGAACUUCUGGAAUGCAGGAAGUUUUCACCCUAACUUGGAGUAAUUCUCUCAUAGGUUUGGUCACCUCUGGGAUUGUACCGUCUUCUCCAUCAACCCUGCCGCCUACUCCACUGAGUAGCACCGUGUACUGCCUACUUCGUUCCUUGGUUAUGCACUCUUGCAUGACCCGAAGUCUUUCACUUUCGGCUAUCUUGAUGAGAAGCUCAUUGACACCGGUCUUACGAAGUUCCUCGGCCUCUGCCCUUCAGCCUUGUCUCGGUACUUGGAGAUUGCCUCUGCAUGCUCCACCUCCUCGGCCCCUUUCACGACCAAGCGCUCUCCCUCCAUGAGAGCAAGGGAUCAAUGACUUUCAUGGAAGUCUCGCCGCUGCGGUACCAUGGAGCUGUUAUGCCCAUGGCCCUACUAUCCGUUGCCUCGCAUCUGCAUCCCUUUUCUUCAUGAUCAGUAGAUAUGUCUCUGUGGCACUCCUCUGAGUCCACCUCCAUUCUAACUGAUGCUUGAUUUUGGGUAGCUAAGUCUCUCUUGACUUGUCGUCGCUUCCUCGCCCCUUUCGACCCCCUGCUUCAACACCUCUGUGUUCUCCAAGCAGCUCCCUCUGGUCGAUGGAAAGACAGACUACAACUCACAUGCAUGGCCUCUGCCAUCAUGUUGUAGGGUUUGCACCGAUUCUGUUCUCCUUAGCUUCCUUGGUAGCAACGUUCGCUUACUCGACCUUGUCCUCUGACUUGUCGGGCUCCCUUAAGUGAAUAUGAGCUCUGGAGUAGUCCAACUCUCCAGCUGCUUCGAUCAUACCUCUGCAUGAUCAAGUCCCUCCCAUGGAACUCACUGGUACUUGCAUUCGAACUUUUUCCUUGGUGGAACACAGCCCCCAUAUGCUGAUGACCAAGAUUUUCAUCCGAUGCAAAAUUCGAUGCACGCCCGGAAGACCCGCCUUUGCGGUACCAUGACCUUCACUCGAAUCCAUAGCCCUUCUUGUCGUCGUGUUGUUCACCGAAGUGGAGCUUCCAGUAGCUCCCGAUCAUAUCUCCAUAUGAUCUUGUCCCUCACGGGUCUAGGUCGUGUGUAUUGCAUUGCCACGAAUUGUUCCACCACGAUCCGCUGCACCAUGUCGCCUCCUGGUGACAUCUACAUUACAUUCUGAUCCUUGUGGAAUAAACUCGAAUUGUGAACCCUUCAUGUGUGGCCUCUGCCAAUACAUCGCAGGGUCUCUUCCACCUUCGAUUUUGUUCGCUCCUUUGGCAAUCGACCUUUAUCCACCCACUCUUGGGUCACACCUAGAUGAAGCACCGCUCUAGGACAGUCCGUCGCCUAAUAGCUCCCGAAGUCCACCGACUUCACUGUAAUUUAUGCACCAUUGUCUGGAUCCUGGGCCUCUGCCCCUACCAGCACAAUCUCCGCUGCGCACCACUUCCUUCAUGGCAACUUGAAUGGCAACACUGUGGCAUAUUCUUCAAGAGCGCCUGCCUCUGCAUCCUCUUGCCCCGUGCUAAGGCCUUCUGAACCCAACUUUGCCUCCGCAAAUUGAGUCGCCUUAGUUCCUCCAUCAAAUGCUUUUCCGAGAUAAAGUGCAUGUGCCCAGAAGCUCCCUUCGCCUUUGGCACCAUGCAAGAUGAGUCCAUUCCAUCAGAAUGAAGGACCCAUGGAACAACAUGAUCCUACUCUUGCCUUUGCAAGAGUUCAUGUCCUUGACCUCUGUCUAAGGAAAGCAUUGUGCCUCUGCUCCAUGUUCCAACUUCUCUGCUGGCUCCCUUCAUGCGGCUUGGGUACUUCGCCAAGUUACACCCAAGUUGCUCCGCUCCUCGUUUUCACAUUGAGUCGAUGGUGGUCCUCAUGCCCACCAUUCCACGGGUCAGCCCUCCCUUGAGUCCGAUCUCCACAUCGACUCCAAAUGUGCCUUCAUUUAAGUUGCUUUGGGUCGCUCCCCCACUUGAUCUUGUAAUGCAUCCACCAAUGCAUUCUCUCGAGCGAGAUCAUGCAACGACUCCUCGCUGCUUGCUCAGUCCAUUGAGCUUCGUGGAGUUGUUGUUUGUUGAGGUACUCCUCCUCAACUUGUGAGGUCCGUCCCACAUGAUUCUCCUUNNNNNNNNNNNNNNNNNNNNUGUUGAACUCGUUGCACACUUCAGCCUCCUAUGGACAUAUCCUUCACAUGCCGAAGAGAAAGUUUCAAUGCUCCAUGGCGCCGAGUUUCGGUCGCCUUGCGAUGGCCACGAACAUUCCAUCGUCCGCAUACAAGCCCAUGCAUGAGUACCGAAUUCUUUGAGUUAGCAAUUCCCCUCACCUCUGUGAGCUUUUGCAUAACUCUUUCGAUCGCUGAGCAACUCAUUCCACCUUGGAUGGUCUCAUCUUUUACCAAGCGCCUCACUUGCCUUGAGCACCAUCAAGUAUAGUUGUCAACGUUGAGCCGUAGCUCAAACUCAGCCAUCCCAACCUUUGUGCGCUCCGCAUUCUUCCAAGCUUGCCUGUUCUCGUGGUGCCUCUUGCGCGAAGGGUUGGCCAUUCCUCUGAAUGCCAAUGUCAGAUGCCCGCUCCUCCGAGCGACUCCUUUUCCCUACAUCUCCAUGCCCGUUUUCCCCCAAACGAUCGCGCGUGUGCUGACUGCCCUCAACGCAGCCCCGCUAGGUCCCCCACGUUUGCAUGCUAAGUGUUUUUAUGAGUGCUUGUCCAGCUCUGAUACCAUCUGUCACGGACUUAGCUGGUUUUGCCUAAGUCGUGUGGCACCCUUGCGUGUCCGUCCGUAAAGGUCAGCCUCCCCGAAGCCUCCCAUUGUCCCUUAGGACCAACAAAAGUGAGAACGGGUUAGAGAGAACGCCUCAAUUGGGAUCCACAAGCAAACAUCUCCAAAAAAUACUUCAUAGACAAUGCAAAUUACAAACAGAUUUUACAAGCUCUGAACAGUUGCACAACAAAGGGUAAAAUGGUCCAUUACAGACCGAAAAUCUCUCGCACGUGUCCACAUGACACAACCUUUAUUUACAAACCUAAAGAGGCCACUAACCCAAAUAAAAUGGGACUAUUAUGCCUUCGGCCGCCCCUCUACAUGCUGUACAAGACAUGAACAUGCCAAAAGACACGGACAUACAUAAGCAUUACAUCAAACAUCCUGUUUCGAAGUUUGUCCGUGACAAUCUGGUGGAUCAUCACAUCUCAGAUUUCGGGGUGUGACAUAAUAGGAGCUAACAUUAUCAAUAGAUGAUGCUUUUCUAGUUUGUGCAUAUUGGGCAUUCAAUAUUUUUUAACAUUUGAUCUGUCUGUGACUAAUUUGUUAUCUUUGUUAUAUUUUUUAACGAUAAUGAGCAUAACUUCGUCUUCUUUGCAUAUUCUUGGCUUCAGUCGGGCUUUUUCAUUCAUGCACAGUAUUCCCUGCUGCUUUAGUUUAGCAUCUCAAAGGUGUGAAAUUAGAGGAGCUCAUUUGAUGCUGCUUGAUAUUCUCCAUUUCUUUCAAAUUAUGACAAUCAUCUGUAAUUUAAUUUCUCCCACUGUCAAAAUGAUAUGAUUGUGUGUUACUGCUACACUUUUUGUAGUGUUAGAACAUGAAAUUUAGAUAAAUGAACUGGGUGGAAUCUUCUUCUUAAAGUUUUCCUUUUUAUUUGCGGACUGAUACUGAUUGCUGGCUUUUAUCAGAUUCUGGAUUUAGUAUUACAGACAUGUGGAAGACAACAGGUAUCCUUUUUAAGUUAUUGCUCAUUUCAUCCUUUCUGACCAGUUUCAAACGUCACUUGGAACUCAGCUCAAAUUUUAGCAGGGGUAGAAUGGGAUGGAAUCAGCGAGUUUAGUACAGAUGACAUUGUUACGGUUAGUGCUAGCACACCUUAGCUGCAGGUUCCAUCUGGUGUUAUGGGGACUGGUACACUGUAAUCUAGAGAUAGAAGAUUCGUUUGUUGGUGGGGACAAUCAGGUUCCAUCAAGAUCCCCAACAUCACUGCCACAAAGAUCAAGCUUGGUAACAAUCUGAUGAUCGAUGGUUUUGGUGGUGAGGAUAUUUGCAAGAGCAGUAUCGAUUGCCAGAAGGAACAGCUGCAGUUACUGUGUACAGUAUAAUAGUAAAUCUUGGUGUAUUAUUGUUCAUGCCUGAUAUUGAGUGAGUCCUCACUUAUUAGUUCAUAGGUUUCAGAUAUGGUUGUUGGCUUCUGCCAAGUGACUGCAUCAUAUAUACACCACUGAUCUUGAGUCCAAUCUUGUUUGAAGAGUUUAGAGAACAAAAUCUCUUGGGUUGUGUGCAUUCUAUGUAUAGAGACUAGAAAGAGCUCUUGGACCUGUCCUUCAACGGUCCAUCUUUCUGGAGGACACAAGGAAGUGUGUGCGUCAAACAUGCAUGCAAACGGUUGUAUCCUGUUAGGUUGCAACUAUGAGUGCAUUUGAUCACUGUAUUUAAACUAUGUUAUUGGUUUCCAUACAAUUUGCUCCUACAUUUUACCAAUAUGAUGCAAGACCCUUUGCAGUCC
rnacentral:lncRNA from 1 species